rnacentral:tRNA from 1 species
CGAAGUAUAGCUCAGUGGUAGAGUGCUUGCCUAGUAUGCACGAGGUCCUGGGUUCAAUCCCCAGUAUCUCCA